AUCAGCAGUUAUAUCACCCUGCAACACACAACUGGCAACCCACUGAAGCUAAGCAGGUGUGACUUUGGCCAGUACUUGAAUGGGUACCUCCUGGGAAAGCAAAGGUUACUGCUG
rnacentral:rRNA from 1 species